AGAGGGAGGUUUGUGGGCACAGAUUUAUAACCUAGCACCCUGGCUGAUGAAGCGGCUGCCUGGACCUCACAGGAGGAUUUUCUCUCUGACACAAAAUUUAAUUGACUUUAUUCAAAUAAAGAUCAGCGAACACAGAGAAAGCAUUGACCCCUCCUCACCAAGAGACUACAUCGACUGCUUCCUCACAGAGAUGGAAGAGAUGAAGGACAACGUUCCUGGUUUUAGUUUUGAUAAUUUAUGUUUUUGCGCUCUGGACCUGUUUGGUGCUGGAACUGAAACCACUACCAC